GCCGUAAACAUUGAUAGAUUAAUACACCCCCUAUCCGCCCGGGAAAUACGAGCACCAGCUUAAAACCCAAAGGACUUGGCGGUGCUUUAGAUCCUACUAGAGGAGCCUGUUCUAGAACCGAUAACCCCCGUUCAACCUCACCUUUCCUUGUUUUUCCCGCCUAUAUACCGCCGUCGUCAGCCCACCCUAUGAAGGUUUAAAAGUAGGCUUAAUUGGCACAGCCCAAAACGUCAGGCCGAGGUGUAGCGUAUGGAAAGGGAAGAAAUGGGCUACAUUCCCUGUUUUAGGGCACACGAAUGGUGUGCUGAAACGCACAUCUUGAAGGAGGAUUUAGCAGUAAGUAGGAAGUAGAGCGUCCUGCUGAAAUUGGCUC
rnacentral:rRNA from 1 species